UACGAAAGGGGCUAGCGUUGCUCGGAAUUACUGGGCGUAAAGGGAGCGUAGGCGGAUAGUUUAGUCAGAGGUGAAAGCCCAGGGCUCAACCUUGGAAUUGCCUUUGAUACUGGCUAUCUUGAGUGUGGGAGAGGUAUGUGGAACUCCGAGUGUAGAGGUGAAAUUCGUAGAUAUUCGGAAGAACACCAGUGGCGAAGGCGACAUACUGGCCCAUUACUGACGCUGAGGCUCGAAAGCGUGGGGAGCAAACAGG
rnacentral:rRNA from 1 species